GGAUGUGAGGGCGAUCUGGCUGUGACAUGUCACCCCAUUGAUCGCCAGGCUUAUUCGGCUGAUCUGGCUGGCUAGAUGGGUGUCCCCUUCCUCCCUCACCUCCAUGUGCGUCCCUCCCGAAGCUGCACGCUCGGUCGAAGAGGUUGACCUUCCCCUAAUAGAGGAGGACCUGUCUUCAGUCAAGGGUAUACGAGUAGCUGCGCUCCCCUGCUAGAACCUCCAAACAAGCUCUCAAGGUCCUUAGUGUUGGAAAGGCAGGAACACUGGGCGGACUUCCCAGUUACUUACGAGUCAUAUCUC
ensembl:misc_RNA 7SK 7SK RNA